AGCGAACGCUGGCGGCAGGCCUAACACAUGCAAGUCGAACGAACCUUUCGGGGUUAGUGGCGGACGGGUGAGUAACACGUGGGAACGUGCCUUUAGGUUCGGAAUAACUCAGGGAAACUUGUGCUAAUACCGAAUGUGCCCUUCGGGGGAUAGAUUAAUCGCCUUUAGAGCGGCCCGCGUCUGAUUAGCUAGUUGGUUGAGGUAAUGGCUCACCAAGGCGACGAUCAGUAGCUGGUCUGAGAGGAUGAUCAGCCACAUUGGGACUGAGACACGGCCCAAACUCCUACGGGAGGCAGCAGUGGGGAAUCUUGCGCAAUGGGCGAAAGCCUGACGCAGCCAUGCCGCGUGAAUGAUGAAGGUCUUAGGAUUGUAAAAUUCUUUCACCGGGGACGAUAAUGACGGUACCCGGAGAAGAAGCCCCGGCUAACUUCGUG
rnacentral:rRNA from 1 species